rnacentral:rRNA from 1 species
UACGUAGGGUGCAAGCGUUAUCCGGAAUUAUUGGGCGUAAAGAGCUUGUAGGCGGUUUGUCGCGUCUGCUGUGAAAAUCCGGGGCUCAACCCCGGACUUGCAGUGGGUACGGGCAGACUAGAGUGUGGUAGGGGAGACUGGAAUUCCUGGUGUAGCGGUGAAAUGCGCAGAUAUCAGGAGGAACACCGAUGGCGAAGGCAGGUCUCUGGGCCAUUACUGACGCUGAGAAGCGAAAGCAUGGGGAGCGAAACAGG